AGCAGCCGCGGUAAUUCCAGCUCCAAUAGCGUAUAUUAAAGUUGUUGCAGUUAAAAAGCUCGUAGUUGAAUUUCGGGGUUAGUAGGUUGGUCAUGCCUCUGGUAUGUACUGGUCUCACUGAUUCCUCCUUCCUGAUGAGCCGUAAUGCCAUUAAUUUGGUGUUGCGGGGAAUUUUGGACUGUUACUUUGAAAAAUUAGAGUGUUUAAAGCAAGCUAACGCUUGAAUACAUUAGCAUGGAAUAAUGAAAUAGGACGUUCGAUCCAUUUGUUGGUUUCUAGGAUUGACGUAAUGAUUAAUAGGGAUAGUUGGGGCAUUAGUAUUCAAUUGUCAGAGGUGAAAUUCUUGGAUUUAUUGAAGACUAACUACUGCGAAAGCAUUUGCCAAGGAUGUUUUCAUUAAUACAAG
rnacentral:rRNA from 1 species